GACGUAGGGAGCAAGCGUUGUCCGGAAUUACUGGGCGUAAAGAGCUCGUAGGCGGGAUCGUAAGUCCGAGAGGAAAUCUCAAGGCUCAACUUUGGGGCUUUCUUGGAUACUGCGAUUCUUGAGUAUAUGAGAGGUAAGUAGAAUUCCCGGUGUAGCGGUGAAAUGCGUAGAUAUCGGGAGGAAUACCAGUGGCGAAGGCGACUUACUGGCAUAUUACUGACGCUGAGGAGCGAAAGCGUGGGGAGCAAACGGG
rnacentral:rRNA from 1 species